rnacentral:rRNA from 1 species
GAUGAACGCUAGCUACAGGCUUAACACAUGCAAGUCGAGGGGUAACGAGAGGAAAGCUUGCUUUCCUUGUCGACGACCGGCGCACGGGUGAGUAACGCGUAUCCAACCUGCCCCCAACUAGGGAAUAACCUUGCGAAAGUAAGACUAAUACCCUAUAAUUUCCUCAGAUGCCAUCUGACGAGGAAUAAAGAUUUAUCGGUUGUGGAUGGGGAUGCGUCUGAUUAGCUUGUUGGCGGGGUAACGGCCCACCAAGGCAACGAUCAGUAGGGGUUCUGAGAGGAAGGUCCCCCACAUUGGAACUGAGACACGGUUCAAACUCCUACGGGAGGCAGCAGUGAGGAAUAUUGGUCAAUGGGCGGAAGCCUGAACCAGCCAAGUAGCGUGCAGGAUGACGGCCCUAUGGGUUGUAAACUGCUUUUAUACAGGAAUAAAGUUAGCCACGUGUGGUUAUUUGUAGGUACUGUAUGAAUAAGGACCGGCUAAUCCCGUGCCAGCCGCCGCGGUAA